rnacentral:lncRNA from 1 species
UCUGAGGGCGUCCCAAAUUGUGAACACUAGGAGAUUGAACAUGGGUCCUGAUAACUUUGAAUCAACCCUUGUUGCAGCAUGCGCAGUCAAAAUGUCUAAGGUGGCUUUAUUGGUGUUUUCAAAGUUGCUGAUGCCCCCUGUAGGAUCUAGAAGCAAGACUUUCUGGAUGGCUUCUUCAGAGUUUGCUACUUCUCCUGGGUAUGGUUUCCCUCCUGGAGCUUCUCUUUUAGUUGCUUAGAGAGGGAAGAAAGCUCUUGCAACGAUAUCGCCAUCACCAACAAUGUCCGAAUGACAUUAAGGCACUAACCCCUCUAUUCCCUACCUGCCCUCCUCCUACACCCCUGGCCCCCAUUCUCUCCCAGCCCACAGGAAAGGCUCUGGUCUGUCAGGCAUCUUGCCUACUCCCCUAUGACUUCCAGUGGAAGGCCUCUCAAAGACACAACUUCUUUCUGUACAAUUUAUUCUUAAUGGAUACCUAGCAAAAAUGGUCCUCAAAAAAAUAGAAAUUUUUUUUUGGAAAGUUCCGAGGAGCCCAGUGCAUUGACCAGCGGGGGCACUCAGAGGGUUUUCACAUUGGGCACCAUUUUGAAUGCAAUCAAUUGUAACAACCAUAACCUUAGCACAAAACGCCCAAGGACAUGGAGGGCAGCCAAAAGACUUAGCGCCAACUGUGGGUGGAGGUGAAGGUGGAGGUCUGGUUGUGUUGGAAAGAGAAGAAACCCUGUCACUGGCCAGUGUCAGCUACCCUGUCUGACCUAUUGACUGAUCAUACCAAGGACUAACGUAUCCCAGGUCCAUGACCCACUGUCCAGAAUCCUUGGAGCACACAGGUUUUACAUCUCAGGACGAUUCGGUUGCAGGAAGAUGGUCUAGACCGUACAACAUUUAUCACAGCUGCCUUGUGGGGCGGCAGCGUCCGUGCUGUAUUUGAACAAUAAUCCUGCAGCAACCUGAUGAUUAUAUUAUUUUAAGAAAGAUAAAUAAGAUUCAUGGGUCAGACUUGCCAUCCGCAAUGGUCUAAAAAAUACCCUACAUACUGUUGGGAGCUGCCUGGAUUUAGGAACUGUGGGUGAGUAGACCUGUACGCUACCACUAACCCAGCUCUAAUAUCUGAGGCAGGUGCUGGAAACCUCUGCAUACUAACUAGUAGCCUUCUUUACAAUAGAGUCAGACAGUUUUAAUUAUCGCUUCAAAGCAGUGCCUGAGAUUCCAAAUGAUUUCUCUUGCUUCCUGUAAGCACUGCCAAAGGUCUAGGAAGAAUGCUUCCUCCAGGAGGGAGACAGAUUUUCCAGUGGGGAGCAGAGGGGCACAGUGAUGAUGGUGUGGGUCUUGGGGUAGACCUGCAGGUAAUGUAAAAUGCAUGCCUCUUUUCCUGUCAGCCUUUGGCGGUGGUGCAGUGAACCAGCUGCAUUGGUGAUCUCAGUCAUUUGAUGUUCUCCAUGAGCCCCGUGCUCCUCCCCAUUCUCCACUCCACCUAAAGAAGUGUUGGGAUGGGCUUUGCGCCGAAAGGCCCCCAACCUCACUCUCUUUCCCCACCUCCUCUUCAAUGCUGAGAAAGGAGCAGCAGUUCCAUCUAAUGACUAACCCUCGAUGCACCUCUGUCCCCUCGGCCUGCUACCUGCUUUGCUGUCUGCUUUGCCCCACCUUAGCCACUUGUGUCUUCUUCCUGUGGGACAAGGUGAGGGCUGAGGGAUAUACCCAGUGGCCUGUGAAUAGUUGAAGCAUGCCCUUCGCCUGCCCAGAUGCCAAUUCUGGCCUCUCGUGGGCUCUGCUGGCCCAUGUGGACCAACUUCCCGCUGGUUACUUGGUUCCCUCCCUGUCACAUCCCUGGAGUUACUGCCCACGCUCAGUAACUUGGCAAGUGAUGUACCAGCACUUUGCUAACUGCUAUGGCCCUGCUGCUUCAGGGUUAUCAUGGUGCCAUCAUGCUAUCUGAGGCUCGAAACAACCAUGAGGAGUUUUGUAUCCCAAUAUGUGUUUUGCCUGCCACUAUUAGCAACGAUAUCCCUGGCUCAGACAUCAGUAUCGGUUGUGAUACUGCCCUGAAUGUGAUUGUCGAGGUAAGAGACCUUCUGCUUCAAUUUUUACUUUGCUUUGCCUGAACGGGGUUGUUCUCCUCCAUUUAGCCCUCCUGACAGCUCAAAUUCUCAACUUGUAGUCUUUAACCUUCACCUGUCCGACCUUAACUAGAAAUUGAAAAAAGAUACCCUUUCAUGGUUUUCAGAGGGAAUAAGCCAAAACUUAUCUUUACCACUUGGCCAUACCUUUGAUAAUAAGAUGGUGAUCCUAUUAUCAUGGUGAGAGUCCUUGCUGUUUUAACUCAACAUGAAAUGCUCUAUGCGGGCCUCUCUGUAGUGUCUCUGUACCACCUGAGCAGGAGAGCUGUGGACAUCACAUCUCUUAAGGUCAGCUGCUUCUGUCCAAAGUCCCAUUGUUAGAGUUGUGAUGUUGGGGGAAGGUUACAGCACAAGUGUCAGGAGUGAGCACAGAGGAUUGCGCCUGGUUACCCAGAGUAAGCAUGGUCAGUAUAAAUCCAGAAACUAAGGAACCCAAGGCUUACACAGGCUUCCCGGUGAGAUGAGAGGCAUUCCAGGAGACAAAGUCACUCUCUGAGAGGAAGGCGACUUCACCUGCUGCAGGUGCUCCAUGUGGUACUGGUGUCUACAUUGGUAACACAGGUAAUGAACUGAAUGUACUAGGUGCUUCUGAGGCAGGAGGCUGUCUGCUAGCUCCCAGAGUCCUUUGUGCAGUCAGCAGUUAUACAACAGUAGAAUGGACGGUGGUCAAGCAUGUAGGGUGGCAUCUUACCAUGCUCAGUUCCUUCCAAAGGCAACAAGCUGAUCUCUUACUUGACAUGUUCACAUCUGACCUGGUGCAUAACCCUGUAUGUCGUGACCCCAAGGGGGUGUCACAUAUCAGAUACCCUGUAUAUCAAAUAUUUAUAUUACCAUUCAUAACACUAGC